GACAGAGGCCUCGAGCGUUAGGCGGAAUCACUGGGCUUAAAGCGUGUGUAGGCGGGCCCGUAAGUGUCUUGUGAAAUCCCACGGCUCAACCGUGGAACUGCUGGGCAUACUGCGGGUCUUGGGCCAACUAGGGGCAGCCGGGACAAGCGGUGGAGCGGUGAAAUGCGUAGAUAUCGCUUGGAACGCCGAAGGUGAAAACAGGCUGCUGGGGUUGCGCCGACGCUGAGACACGAAAGCCAGGGGAGCAAACGGG
rnacentral:rRNA from 1 species